CUACGGGAUGCAGCAGUAGGGAAUAUUGGGCAAUGGGCGCAAGCCUGACCCAGCAACGCCGCGUGAAGGAAGAAGGCUUUCGGGUUGUAAACUUCUUUUGGCAGGGACGAAACAAAUGACGGUACCUGCAGAAUAAGCUCCGGCUAAAUACGUGCCAGCAGCCGCGGUAAUACGUAUGGAGCAAGCGUUAUCCGGAUUUACUGGGUGUAAAGGGCGCGUAGGCGGGACUGCAAGUCAGGUGUGAAAUCUAGUGGCUCAACCACUAAACUGCAUUUGAAACUGUAGUUCUUGAGUGAUGGAGAGGCAAGUGGAAUUCCUAGUGUAGCGGUGAAAUGCGUAGAUAUUAGGAGGAACACCAGUGGCGAAGGCGACUUGCUGGACAUUAACUGACGCUGAGGCGCGAAAGCGUGGGGAGCAAACAGGAUUAGAUACCCCGGUAGUC
rnacentral:rRNA from 1 species